rnacentral:tRNA from 1 species
GUCCCCUUCGUCUAGUGGCCUAGGACGUCGCCCUCUCACGGCGAAAACAGGGGUUCGACUCCCCUAGGGGACGCCA